GUGCCUAAUACACGCAAGUCGAACGGUCUUUCUAUGGAAGCUUGCUUCCACUGAGAAGAUAGUGGCGAACGGGUGAGUAACACGUGGGUAACCUGCCCAUAAGAGGGGGGAGUAACAUCCGGAAACGGGUGCUAAUACCGCAUAGUUUUCUUGAUCGCAUGAUUGAGAAAGGAAAGACGGCCUUUGUGCUGUCGCUUAUGGAUGGACCCGCGGCGUAUUAGUUAGUUGGUGAGGUAACGGCUCACCAAGACGAUGAUACGUAGCCGACCUGAGAGGGUGAUCGGCCACAUUGGGACUGAGACACGGCCCAAACUCCUACGGGAGGCAGCAGUAGGGAAUCUUCCGCAAUGGACGAAAGUCUGACGGAGCAACGCCGCGUGAGUGAAGAAAGGUUUUCGGAUCGUAAAACUCUGUUGUCAGAGAAGAACAAGUUGGAGAGUAACUGCUCCAGCCUUGACGGUAUCUGACCAGAAAGCCACGGCUAACUACGUGCCAGCAGCCGC
rnacentral:rRNA from 1 species